rnacentral:lncRNA from 1 species
UUCCUCGGCGUUGGCUGAGUCCUAGUUUCACGUGGUGGCCAGCGUGAAGUGUACUCAAAUCCUACCUCGGGAGUUAUCCUACGCGCCUCUCCAAUCAAGGUAAGCCCAAUAAUUGGGAACCAUGCCCCUCUAAUUAGGCUGGCCCACGGAACCCCCAUCACUACAGUGCCCACUUUAUAAUCCACCAACCAAUAAAAUCACAAUAGUAUGACAUGGCUCACUUAACACAUUCAAGGCAAAUCAAAGCAGUUCACAUAUUCUUUAAAUCAUAAAAAUAACUAGUCAUACCCACAUUUAUCAUAAGCCAUUUAAUGUAAAAUCAUGGAUAAACAACACAAUCAUAGUAUAGGUCUCCAAUUACUCUAUUUUUGAAAUCAUUAUUAAAUUUUCAAAAAUUUUAUAAAAUUAUUUUAUAAAAUCUCAUUUUCCCAUAAAACACAAUAAUUUUCCAAUUAAACCAUUUUUUCAUAAAAUCACACAAUUAAAUAAAUCUACUCUAG